rnacentral:rRNA from 1 species
AUACGGAGGGUGCAAGCGUUGUUCGGAAUCACUGGGCGUAAAGCGCGUGCAGGCGGCCCAUUAAGUCAGAUGUGAAAGCCCUCGGCUCAACCAAGGAACUGCAUCUGAAACUACUGGGCUUGAGUACGGGAGAGGAGAGUGGAAUUCCCGGUGUAGAGGUGAAAUUCGUAGAUAUCGGGAAGAACACCGGUGGCGAAGGCGGCUCUCUGGACCGAUACUGACGCUGAGACGCGAAAGCGUGGGGAGCAAACAGGAUUAGAUACACGAGUAGUCC